rnacentral:rRNA from 1 species
GAUGAACGCUGGCGCCGUGCCUAAUACAUGCAAGUUGAGCGCUGAAGGUAGGUACUUGUACCAACUGCAUUAGCAGCGGACGGGUGAGUAACACGUGGGGAAUCUGCCUUUGAGCGUGGGACAACAUCUGGAAACGAAUGCUAAUACCGCAUAAAAUAUUUAACCACAUGUUUCAAUAUUGAAAGACGCUAUUGCUUCCCUUAAAAAUGAUCCCCCGUUGCCUUAGCUAGUUGGUAAGGUAAAGGCCUACCAAGGCAAAGAUGCGUAGCCGACCUGGGAGGGUGAUCGGCCACACUGGAACGGGGACACGGUCCAGCCUCCUAGGGGAGGCAGCAGUAGGGAAUCUUCCGCAAUGGGCGAAAGCCUGACGGAGCAACGCGGCGGGGGUGAUGAAGGUCUUCGGAUCGUAAAACUCUGUGAUAAGGGAAGAAGAAAGGGGGAAGGAACUAUGCACGUAGUGACGGUAACUAAUCAGAAAGCCACGGCUAACUACGUG